AUUGAACGCUGGCGGCAGGCCUAACACAUGCAAGUCGAGCGGAUGAAGGGAGCUUGCUCCUGGAUUCAGCGGCGGACGGGUGAGUAAUGCCCAGGAAUCUGCCUGGUAGUGGGGGAUAACGUCCGGAAACGGGCGCUAAUACCGCAUACGUCCUGAGGGAGAAAGUGGGGGAUCUUCGGACCUCACGCUAUCAGAUGAGCCUAGGUCGGAUUAGCUAGUUGGUGGGGUAAAGGCCUACCAAGGCGACGAUCCGUAACUGGUCUGAGAGGAUGAUCAGUCACACUGGAACUGAGACACGGUCCAGACUCCUACGGGAGGCAGCAGUGGGGAAUCUUGGACAAUGGGCGAAAGCCUGAUCCAGCCAUGCCGCGUGUGUGAAGAAGGUCUUCGGAUUGUAAAGCACUUUAAGUUGGGAGGAAGGGCAGUAAGCUAAUACCUUGCUGUUUUGACGUUACCAACAGAAUAAGCACCGGCUAACUUCGUG
rnacentral:rRNA from 1 species